CCUACGGGAGGCAGCAGUGAGGAAUAUUGGUCAAUGGACGAGAGUCUGAACCAGCCAAGUAGCGUGAAGGAUGACUGCCCUAUGGGUUGUAAACUUCUUUUAUAUGGGAAUAAAAUGUUCCACGUGUGGGAUUUUGUAUGUACCAUAUGAAUAAGGAUCGGCUAACUCCGUUCCAGCAGCCGCGGUAAUACGGAGGAUCCGAUCGGUAUCCGGAUUUAGUGGGUUUAAAGGGAGCGUAGGUGGAUUGUUAAGUCAGGUGUGAAAGUUUGCGGCUCAACCGUAAAAUUGCAGUUGAAACUGGCAGUCUUGAGUACAGUAGAGGUGGGCGGAAUUCGUGGUGUAGCGGUGAAAUGCUUAGAUAUCACGAAGAACUCCGAUUGCGAAGGCAGCUCACUGGACUGCAACUGACACUGAGGCUCGAAAGUGUGGGUAUCAAACAGGAUUAGAUACCCUUGUAGUC
rnacentral:rRNA from 1 species